rnacentral:rRNA from 1 species
GAUGAACGCUGGCGGCGUGCCUAAUACAUGCAAGUCGAGCGAACGGACGAGAAGCUUGCUUCUCUGAUGUUAGCGGCGGACGGGUGAGUAACACGUGGAUAACCUACCUAUAAGACUGGGAUAACUUCGGGAAACCGUAGCUAAUACCGGAUAAUAUUUUGAACCGCAUGGUUCAAAAGUGAAAGACGGUCUUGCUGCCACUUAUAGAUGGGUCCGCGCUGCAUUAGCUAGUUGGUAAGGUAACGGCUUACCAAGGCAACGAUGCAUAGCCGACCUGAGAGGGUGAUCGGCCACACUGGAACUGAGACACGGUCCAGACUCCUACGGGAGGCAGCAGUAGGGAAUCUUCCGCAAUGGGCGAAAGCCUGACGGAGCAACGCCGCGUGAGUGAUGAAGGUCUUCGGAUCGUAAAACUCUGUUAUUAGGGAAGAACAUAUGUGUAAGUAACUGUGCACAUCUUGACGGUACCUAAUCAGAAAGCCACGGCUAACUACGUG